CCUACGGGAGGCAGCAGUGGGGAAUAUUGGGCAAUGGACGGAAGUCUGAACCAGCCAUGCCGCGUGCAGGAAGACGGCUCUAUGAGUUGUAAACUGCUUUUGUACAAGGGUAAACCUGCAUACGUGUAUUCAGCUGAAUGUACUGUACGAAUAAGGAUCGGCUAACUCCGUGCCAGCAGCCGAGGUAAUACGGAGGGUCCAAGCGUUAUCCGGAUUUAUUGGGUUUAAAGUGUGCGUAGGCGGUUUGAUAAGUUAGAGGUGAAAUGUCCGAGCUUAACUCGGGAACUGCCUCUAAUACUGGUGAUCUAGAGAGUGGUAGCGGAAGGCGGAAUGUAUGGUGUAGCGGUGAAAUGCUUAGAGAUCAUGCAGAACACCGAUUGCGAAGGCAGCUUACUAAUAUAUAUCUGACGUUGAGGCACGAAAGCGUGGGGAGCAAACAGGAUUAGAUACCCUAGUAGUC
rnacentral:rRNA from 1 species